UGCUUUUAAUUUUGGACAAAACAACUUGGGGGUUCGACCCCACCUACAAAAUGGCUAUACAAAAAAGCUACCCCAUUGGAUGCCAAUCCAAGGACUAUCCACCGACCAGAUGAGAUGUCUCACUCUCCAUGUUGUAAAAUUUAUUAAACUGGUUUGAGAUGUUGGCCUCAGCUAUGCACCUAGGUGUAGGAUAAGGUGGGCCCUUAAUCUUCCAGGCCUUAACCUAUAUAUAAUUUUAAAAAUCUUUCACAAAAACUUGUACCUGCUGAUUGCAACGAUCUGGAG
rnacentral:lncRNA from 1 species